rnacentral:lncRNA from 1 species
CUUCCCCAACCUGCGGCACCACAAUCUCCAUCUCCCGGCCUUGGCCUUCCCCAACCUGGUGGUCGACCCAAGGGUAUUUGUGUCACAAAAGAAGAAAAGUUUGGAAGAUUACGAAAAAUCAUCACAAUCUGCAAGAAUCCCGGUAAUGACAAAACAACAAGCACAACACAGACGCAAGUGAAUUCAAAGGAAACCUGAAACGUGGGAAUAGAGUUAAUAAUAGAUGAGAUGAAUGAAUGAAUAAAAUUAUUUCGAGAACGUGCAAAAGGGGAUGUCUCUCGCAGCACACAGCAUCCUCGAAUUAUAUAGGAGAAUCAUACGCUAAAUCUGUUAACUUUAACCAUGAAUGAGAUUCUAUUCACGUGCGCUGCCCACACAAUUGUCCCGAUAUUGAAUUCACAAUUAUUUGUUUUCUCAGCCUGUUUACUGAGAGGGGCAGAGAUAAAAAUGCAAUAACUUAAUGUUUCCUAUCAGAUACUAAGAGUAGAUGUCGCUCUAUCAUAUGAUGCUGAUGAUGAUCAAUAUUUACAAGAUCAAAUCUGUGUCUUAUUUGCACGUUCGAAUACCUUUGGGUUGGUGGGAUUAAGUCAUAAGUCGAUCUUAGAAAUCUGCCCUCUAGUGGCCAAAUUUAGCAUAUUUUUUAUUACGUGACUUGGCGAGUAUUAGCCCCCGAGUAAUAUCAUACUGCAGCUGCAGUUGACUACUUUAGCAAUCAAUUACGUAAUCAAUUGCGUUUAGCGAUUGCUUUCCAGUGUUACUUGUUACAAAAAUUAUGUGUUUUUUCUCUUUUAAGGGAUAAAACUUAAGUAAGUUAAAUCAGGUCGAUCAAGGCGUUCCCGGCAAAUAAAUACUUGUGCACGUGUCGAGAAAAAAUAUAUUAUAACAUGGCUUUAAAAAAGCGCGCGCUCUGAUUCGCUCAUACGCUCGAUCUAUUUGCCCGUGGGUUGCACGCUGACGUCAGCUUGUUUUGCUUUUUUUUUUCAUGGCAACUUUUUCGUCAUGUUGCCACUACACACAACAUAAUUCCUGUUUUUUGUGUGUAUUUAACUCGUGAAAUAUGGACAAAUUUGGCGAUUUUUCCGAAGAUAAGGAUGAUAAUACUUGUGAGCCGCCGAACUUCGAACUCAAUGUUUUUGUCGGGCCUCCAGCUUAGAGCUCGAGUUUUGCGAACUUGAGCGAGCAGGAGCUUAAUCAGCUGGUUGCCGGUGACAAUUAAAUAUUC